GAUGGAAAAUAAGGAAAUUGUAACAUUCAAGUUCUCAAAUGUUAAAUGUUGUCUCAACAAAAUCAACCGCGCAAACAUUUUUCUAAAUUAUAAUACAGGGUAAAAUAAAAAUAAAAUAAAGAGAAACAAGGAGGUUUUGUAUUUUAGAUUUUAUUUUUUUUAUACUUGAUGCUCCACACACAUUGCGGUCAGAACCAAAAAAGGUAUACUCUGAGUUAGGGCUGGGUGAUAUGGUCAAAAUCUUCGAUCCCAAUAUGUCAAUAACGAUAUAUAUCACGAUAUAGCUUGAUAUCUGGUAAUUCAAAAAAUAAAUAGUCUAUAUGAAAUAACCACAUGCUAAAGCCUAUUUUUCUACUCGUGUGAAAUAAAUACUUGACAAAUGAAAGGUACGGAGUAUUUUCUCAUUUUAUUAAGAAGAUCAGAACAUAAAUCGUCAUCCAAAUGACAUAAAUAUUGCCUCAACCAGUUUUGGCUACUGUUUUUUUACCAUAACAAUAGAAACAAUGUAGAAAAAUACAUACAAGACAUUUUUAUAUCCUUUUGACGGCACAUAUCAUCAUAUCACGCAGCCCUACUCUGAGUCUGUCACUCCUUCCCUUGAACUGUUUUUCUUUAGCUCCCUGCUCUAGUUUUGCCACAAGUUUAUCUUUAUUGAGGAUAAUAAAAUUAAAUAUAGACCUAUUCUCACCUCUUUUUUUCCUGUUAAGAAUUGUUUUACAAUGUAGUUAUUGUCCCUAGAGUAAAAUAAGUUGACUGUAUGGACUUGAAGUCAACCCUCCACAAGAUAAGGAAAUAGUUUAAUAGUUGAUCCCAUCUUGAGAAAAUGUCGCGUGCAGUGUUAUUCUAUGAAGCAUUUCUUUUUACACCUCACUCCUCUAUCGCUCCUCUGCUGAGACACACCAUCAGCUCAUAUCUCAUGCAUGAAGCCACGGAACCCAAAGUAAAAUAGGAGGUCAGAAUCAGUUGUGUUUGUGCUUUCAGCAUGACAAAAAGGCUGUCACAGUGUCUCUCUGUCACUUCUCUGCACUCCCUGUUUCUCUCCGCUUUGUGUUUCUUGGCUUACUUGCAGAUACAGUGCAUACUGUAGUUAAGCGGUGUGAAUAACACAAAAUAAACACCCAUCUUGGAGCGGGUGCUCAGAAUGUGUACUUAAUUUCUUUUGCUCACUCCACUGAUGUUUACAUUAUACCAUAAAUGUGUCAAAAUGAGUAACAAAGUUUAGGUUCAGUGAUGAUGAUGAGUAAAACAAACGCCCAGCUUACUGUGUGGCCACUUUCAUUACCCCUAAAUUAUAUUUCUUUUUUUAUGUCCUUCAAGUAAGUCAAUGUGAAGAGCUAUACAGAUGGAACAAAUGCGGUCUAUUAAGAACAAAUGCAGAGCCUUAUACACGUUGAACAGCCACUAUAUAGCUUAAACUGCUCCCUGCUGUACUGUGCAACAGUUCUGUGCCACAUGCUGGAGAAUGAAACUGAGGGACUGAAAUAGUAUUUUACUAGAGCAAUAAAGGACCUCUGUCUA